rnacentral:rRNA from 1 species
AUGGCGAUGCUCCAGCACCAGAACCAGGGGGCAGCGGCGCCGAUGACCACCACGGGCGGCGGGCUGCGCGCCAUGGACCUCUACGAGAAGCUGGAGAAGGUCGGGGAGGGCACCUACGGGAAGGUGUACAAGGCCCGGGAGAAGGCGACGGGCCGGAUCGUGGCGCUCAAGAAGACGCGCCUCCCGGAGGACGACGAGGGCGUGCCCCCCACGGCGCUCAGGGAGGUCUCGCUGCUGCGGAUGCUGUCGCAGGACCCGCACGUCGUGCGCCUGCUCGAUCUCAAGCAGGGCCAGAACAAGGAGGGCCAGACCAUCCUCUACCUCGUCUUCGAGUACAUGGACACCGACCUCAAGAAGUUCAUCCGCGGCCACCGCCAGAACCACGAGAAGAUCCCCGCCCACACCGUCAAGAUCUUGAUGUACCAGCUCUGCAAGGGCGUGGCUUUCUGCCACGGACGAGGUGUCCUGCACCGUGACCUCAAGCCACACAACCUGCUCAUGGACCGCAAGACCAUGGCUCUCAAGAUCGCCGAUCUUGGGCUCAGUCGUGCCUUCACGGUUCCUCUCAAGAAGUACACACACGAGAUCCUUACUCUGUGGUACAGAGCUCCGGAGGUCCUUCUUGGCGCCACACACUACUCAACGCCGGUUGACAUGUGGUCUGUGGGCUGCAUAUUUGCUGAAUUGAUCACUACCACGGCACUUUUCCCUGGAGACUCUGAGGUGCAGCAGCUCCUGCACAUUUUCAAGUUGCUGGGCACUCCAAAUGAGGAUGUCUGGCCAGGAGUAGGCAAACUCCCGAACUGGCAUGAGUACCCUCAGUGGAAUGUCUCAAAGCUGUCUUCUGUCAUUCCUAGUCUCGAUGCCGAUGGUAUUGAUCUGCUUGAGAAAAUGCUGCAGUAUGAGCCGGCAAAGCGGAUCUCUGCGAAGAAGGCCAUGGAGCACCCAUACUUCGAUGAUGUGGACAAGGUGCUGUACUGA